GAUGAACGCUAGCUACAGGCUUAACACAUGCAAGUCGAGGGGUAACGAGAGGAAAGCUUGCUUUCCUUGUCGACGACCGGCGCACGGGUGAGUAACGCGUAUCCAACCUGCCCCCAACUAAGGAAUAACCUUGCGAAAGUAAGACUAAUACCUUAUAAUUUUCUCAGAUGUCAUCUGACGAGGAAUAAAGAUUUAUCGGUUGUGGAUGGGGAUGCGUCUGACUAGCUUGUUGGCGGGGUAACGGCCCAACAAGGCAACAAUCAGUAGGGGUUAGGAGAAGAAGGUACCCCACAUUUGAACUGAGACACGGUCCAAACUCCGAUGGGAGGCAGCAGUGAGGAAUAUUUGUCAAUGGGCGAGAGCCUGAACCGGCCAAGUAGCGUGCAGGAUGACGGCCCUAUGGGUUGUAAACUGCUUUUAUACAGGAAUAAAGUUAGCCACGUGUGGUUAUUUGUAGGUACUGUAUGAAUAAGGACCGGCUAAUUCCGUGCCAGCCGCCGCCGUAA
rnacentral:rRNA from 1 species